GGGGACCAUGGCACCUGCAGCUCUAGAGGAGGCCACCAUCCAUGCCUUUGCCACAUAGCCUCCGAGACCACAGCCUUCAGGGUUAACCCCUGAAGACACUAACAGGGCCCUAAGAAAGCACUGGCAUUGCCUUGUGGCAAUAACUAGGAGGAAACCUGGGAAGUAACCACAGGUCCUGUGCAUGUGACUGUCAGCUCUAUAGCUUGCCAGCUAAACAGCCUGGAUAAAUCAUCAGUAUUAUAUGUUUUAGUUUUCUAAUCCACGUUAUUUGUAGAAAUCACCUGUUAUUCUUGGUGAAUAUUAAAUUAAAUAAUUCAUAUAGAGUGUUUACCACAGUGCCUUACACAUUGCUGGUGCUUUAGUACAUAGUAGUUUACUGUUAUUAUUUCUCAUUCUCCCACACUGACCCUGAAGCCUUUAAAGACCAUUGUUCGACUUUGUGUACCUGUGACCUUGGAUUCUCCAGGCCUCACCUGUCUUUCAUGCCCUCAGUUAUCUGCUGGAUCCUGGAAUCAGAAGAAUGGCCAUAUCCAGGGCAUAAAAUCCCACUUUCUCAGUAGCUGCCCAAGGACUCAGGUGGCCCAGCCCAGAGGUUCAGGGGAGCUGACAUCCUGCAAGACAAACUGUGACUCAUGGGGCCCAAGAGCCUGGGGAGAGCCAGGAAGCACACCUUUCUCUAUUCUUCCUGUUGAAUGCCUCCCAGGUGUGGUGUUACUGUACCUUUUACCCAGAGAUGUCCCAUGGGAUGCCCAGAACCAUGGUGAGUCUCUGGGAAGCAGUGGUCAGCUGGGUAAUGCCCACUUUGUAUUUGCCCUUCUUCUCUUGUCAAUGCCCUGUUCCUUCAUCCUGGCUUCUCUGGGAUUGAAAUAAUAUGCAAACAUUGCCUCAGACUCUAUUUUCUAGAGUCUAGCCUAAGCCAGGCCCUACUCCCUUUUGUAUCUCUGGUUCCUAGAACAACACUUUACGGAGAGUUAGUGCUCAGUGCCUGUUUAUUGACUUGAAGAAUAAAAGAAUAACUGAUCAUCUGAAUGCCAAAAUGAAUUAAUGAAUGAGUCUUGUGUUCACGCCAGUAUUUCCACUGGACAAAAUUCUGAAUUUCUGAAGAGCCUCAGUCUCUCUGAUUGUAACACACUAAAGGAAAGCAACACAGGGAAAGAAGAGAGGAAGAGAAAAGGUGGCAGGAAGAGAAAGAAUCCAAAAGAAAAACUGCCUCGCAAUCCCAAUCUGUUCCAAUUGCCUUAUUUGCCGAGUUUUCACUUUGGGCCAAAACAGUACUAGUUUAGCAAAAGGGAGACCAAGGCUGGAAUCACUUUUGAGAACUGAGGGCACAUGGAAGAUCUCUGAUACAAUGAAUGGUGGAUUAUUUUUAAUCUGGAAAAAUGUCAAAAGCAUGAGCAGCUCAAUGCCAACCAUCCAACUUCAUGCAAACCUUUAAUUAGUUAUAAUACUUGGAAGCCUUUCCUGGGAUGCUGUUUCAUUGCCAGUGAACUCACCAUGCUCAGUGCCUGGCAACCAUCUGGUGCUGAAGUCACUGGGUUGGGAGCUGUAAGCCAGGCCUAGAGUCCCUGCCUUGCCUCCCAUUCCUUGUGUGACCCUGGUGUGUCUCUUCCCUUCAAGACCUCUGCUGCCCAUUGUGCAAAGUGAGGACAAGAAGUUCUAACCUUCCCUCAGUCUAUGGCUGACAGUGAAGCAUCUAAAUCACCCACAUGUUGGUCUGUAGAACG
rnacentral:lncRNA from 10 species